rnacentral:rRNA from 1 species
UGGGGAAUUUUGGACAAUGGGCGAAAGCCUGAUCCAGCAAUGCCGCGUGUGUGAAGAAGGCCUUCGGGUUGUAAAGCACUUUUGUCCGGAAAGAAAUCCUUGGCUCUAAUACAGUCGGGGGAUGACGGUACCGGAAGAAUAAGCACCGGCUAACUACGUGCCAGCAGCCGCGGUAAUACGUAGGGUGCAAGCGUUAAUCGGAAUUACUGGGCGUAAAGCGUGCGCAGGCGGUUUGCUAAGACCGAUGUGAAAUCCCCGGGCUCAACCUGGGAACUGCAUUGGUGACUGGCAGGCUAGAGUAUGGCAGAGGGGGGUAGAAUUCCACGCGUAGCAGUGAAAUGCGUAGAGAUGUGGAGGAAUACCGAUGGCGAAGGCAGCCCCCUGGGCCAAUACUGACGCUCAUGCACGAAAGCGUGGGGAGCAAACAGGAUUAGAUACCCUGGUAGUCCACGCCCUAAACGAUGUCAACUAGUUGUUGGGGAUUCAUUUCCUUAGUAACGUAGCUAACGCGUGAAGUUGACCGCCUGGGGAGUACGGUCGCAAGAUUAAAACUCAAAUGAAUUGACGGGGUCAUAGCUGUUUCCU